rnacentral:rRNA from 1 species
AUUGAACGCUGGCGGCAGGCCUAACACAUGCAAGUCGAACGAGUGGCGGACGGGUGAGUAAUGUCUGUGAAACUGCCUGAUGGAGGGGGAUAACUACUGGAAACGGUAGCUAAUACCGCAUACCAUCAGAUGUGCCCAGAUGGGAUUAGCUAGUUGGUGGGGUAACGGCUAACCAAGGCGACGAUCCCUAGCUGGUCUGAGUGGAUGACCAGGCACACCGGAAUUGAGAUACGGUCCAGACGCCUACGGGAGGCAGCAGAGGGGAAUAUUGCACAAUGGGAGCAAGCCUGAUGCAGCCAUGCCGCGUGUAUUAAGAAGGCAUUCGGGUUGUAAAGUACUUUCAGCGGGGAGGAGUUACCCGCAGAAGAAGCACCGGCUAACUCCGUGCCAGCAGCCGCGGUAAUUC